rnacentral:rRNA from 1 species
AGUGAACGCUGGCGGUAGGCCUAACACAUGCAAGUCGAACGGCAGCACAGUAAGAGCUUGCUCUUACGGGUGGCGAGUGGCGGACGGGUGAGGAAUACAUCGGAAUCUACUUUUUCGUGGGGGAUAACGUAGGGAAACUUACGCUAAUACCGCAUACGACCUACGGGUGAAAGCAGGGGAUCUUCGGACCUUGCGCGAUUGAAUGAGCCGAUGUCGGAUUAGCUAGUUGGCGGGGUAAAGGCCCACCAAGGCGACGAUCCGUAGCUGGUCUGAGAGGAUGAUCAGCCACACUGGACCUGAGAAACGGUCCAGACUCCUACGGGAGGCAGCAGUGGGAAAUAUUGGACAAUGGGGCAAGCCUGAUCCAGCCAUACCGCGUGGGUGAAGAAGGCCUUCGGGUUGUAAAGCCCUUUUGUUGGGAAAGAAAAGCAGCAGGUUAAUACCCCGCUGUUCUGACGGUACCCAAAGAAUAAGCACCGGCUAACUUCGUG